GACACUGGGCGCCCAUGGUGGCACGGGCUGGCAUGCACGAACUCCUACGUGAAAUUCCAACCUUGCCCCGUUCCUCCCCCUCCUUUUAAGCUGAGCACUGGCUCCACUUCCUCCCCAAUCUCCAUUGACAGUAACAAGAACUCCACUUUUCCCCAAAUUUUGCCGGCAAAAUCCGCCGCAGUUGGUGCAUCUCUGGCCGAUUCCUUGCAGCCACGGUGCCUCCUCGACGUUGCGCUUCCGUUUUGCAACUUCCCGGCCAUCCUCCUUCACCGGACGGUCCUCUCCACACGAGCCCCCUUCGGCACAUCUUCUUGCGCUGUCCUCCCUGUGCGCCGCCCCUCCUCCAAGUGCCUCCUCCCCUGCUGAUACGCUAGACAAACCACGUGAAGGAUGUGAUGAUGGAACUGAACCUGAAGACAGUGUAUGGUGGAGCUAUCCCGAAGAUGGAAGGACUAAGCAAGUGCCGAGAUGGGAGAUGCUCGCCACGUUUGCUGUUGUUUUGGGUGCUAGCCUUACUUGGCCUACCCAGCUCCCUUCGGGUUGGACGGCCAAGUGGUAUCCCUCCUCAGACGGUGAGGACAGGGGUCAUUGAUGUCAUGAUCGGCUUCAUCAUGAUAUCGUGUAUCGACGUUUAGCUUUCGCAUAUUUUACUUCUUCGUUGUUUGAAACCUUGCAAAUUAUGUUUGAAUUUCGAAAACUCUGAUGUAAUAAGUUGUUGAACUAUGUUAAUGUGAUGGGAAUGUUGUAAUCUCUAUGCCCACUCACCUUCGUGUGAGCAAUACUUCUCGAUCCUAAGUAAGUGAUUUAUCGGAUGAAA